ACCUUCACUGCUUAUAGGUGUAGUGGCUGAUUGUAAUCAGUAGGCCCGAGGGUUCGAAUCCCUCUGGCGACU
rnacentral:tRNA from 1 species